AACGAACGCUGGCGGCGUGCUUAACACAUGCAAGUCGAACGAGAAAAUCCUGGCUUGCCAGGAUGAGUAAAGUGGCGCACGGGUGAGUAACACGUGAGUAAUCUGCCCCUAAGUCAGGAAUAACAUUGCGAAAGCGAUGCUAAUACCUGGUAAGCCCACGACUUCUUCGGUAGAUGUGGGAAAAGGUGGCCUCUGACAUAAGCUAUCACUUAGGGAUGAGCUCGCGGACCAUUAGCUUGUUGGUAGGGUAAUGGCCUACCAAGGCGAUGAUGGUUAGCUGGCCUGAGAGGGUGGCCAGCCACACUGGAACUGAGACACGGUCCAGACUCCUACGGGAGGCAGCAGUGGGGAAUCUUGCGCAAUGGGGGAAACCCUGACGCAGCAACGCCGCGUGAGUGACGAAGGCCUUCGGGUCGUAAAGCUCUGUCAGAUGGAAAGAAUUAGUUCGCUGAAAAUAUUGGCGAGUGAUGACGGUACCAUCAGAGGAAGCACCGGCUAACUCCGUGCCAGCCGCCGCAGUAAGAC
rnacentral:rRNA from 1 species